GCUUACAGGGCAGCUAUGAGUGGGAGUUAUGCCACAGUGCUUCUGCAGGCUCUCUAUGUUACACCAUGUCACAGGUAUAAAACGGGUGGUGAAGAAAAAGGAAAGCUACCAGCUCUUUAAGGUUCUUAACUAUUUUCUGAGACAAAUCUCAUAGGACCCUUAGCAAGUUUCAUUUCAUUGAAUCUUUAAUAUUGUGAACUAACGCUGUUUGUAGCGAUGUACGAACAGACGACUUCACAAUAUUUUUCCCGAAACAAUGCUGAAGUGGCUCACAGGUAAACUCAGCUACACAGGCAUGGAACACAUUGCAGAAACACAAAUGCCUAUGUUGAAUAUAUUUAUAUUCCAUAACGACCUCACUAUUUAUUACAUGGAGUAGUUAACUACUAAAAACAUGAGUUUCUUAGCAACAUAACUAUGGAAUCUUGACCUUUGACAUUUUUUUCUAUCUUCCGAAGUAUUUGAAAACUGACGAUUAAAUUGGAACCACAGGAGGCCAGUGUGCCACAAACUUAUGUAUACAUUUCUUUGAGUUGUUUUGAUUUAUAAAUUAGUUACAAAAGGUUUGAGUCAAAAAAGCGUAAGAAAUGAUUUAAACAGUAACUUUUAUUGUAGAUUGCUACUAGGAAAAUGAGCAACUACAUAACAUUUAUAAGAAUGUUUUGUCUUAUUUAUAAAGUUAAUCAUUGAUAAAAAAUUAAAAACAAAGUUUGUUACAAAUAAUGGUGUGUAUAUUAUGUAUCUAUGUAUUUAUAGGACAUGAAGUAUACUAAAGGAAUAAAUCUUUAAUUUGACAUCUUGAAAAAUAAAUACUAACACUGAUAAUAGUUUUUAAAAAUGAAUUCUUUGAAAAACAGCAUGAAAUACAUCUGAAUUUUUUUUCUUAGAACUGCACAGACAUUUCAAAGUCUAAAUAUAUGGAAGAAAAGAUAAAGCAAAAGGCAGAAAACACUUAAGAGAAUGACUGCUCAUGUACUUUGGCAAUGAUACCAGUUAUGGGGAAAUGAAUGCAGUUAUUAUUUUAAUGAGAAUAUAAGGCUCUAUCUACUUCCUCACAAAAAUAAAAGCUAACAAGAUUGUGUGCUGCAUGUCUCCCUGGCUGGAUUUCUUUACUACACUGAGUUUUUUCUAGUGGUCCGGGGGUGGCUGGACUUGAAGACACAUGAAACACAAGUGUUUUUCAGCAUAACUGUAGCCAUUCCUUUGAUUCUUGGGUUAUCUGGGGGCAGUGAGCAUGCACUCUAGCACACGACACAAACAAGAAGCUGUACUUGGAAUGUAGCCUUUGUUUUUUUCUCUCUUCAAAGCCUAUGAUUCCUAAUAUCAUUGAUAGGCAGAGCAAAAAAGAAAUGUUUGUUCUCUUAUGUAAGAAAUAAACUUCAUUUGGUAUUCAAUUGACUUUCUAACUUAGCAGGCAGGACUUUGCAUCUUCAAAAACUGAGAAUAAAUUGCAUUCUUGGCCCUUGCUUUAAAAGGUUAUAGAGAAUAAACGCACGGGCUGGUAGUGUUCUAGUGAUCUCCCUAAUCUCAGUUGCACUUUGUCAGAACGAGGUAACUGGUAGUUAAGUGAAUACCCCAGAUCAAAGGGGGAUUAAUCACCGACUGAAUCCUUGCUGAAUCAACCUGUCAUUCAAGAAAAUUAUUUCCACGGAACUUAGCAGAGGAUUGAAGGUAUUUGCAUAACAGCAACCAACAUACUUCAGCCAGGUUAAAAGGUUCAGAAUUCAUCCCAUGUUUAGCUUUUUGCCUCCUUCUCCUUUCAGCAGCCGGGUACAAUGGUUUCUAAUCUGAUAAUACAGCUAACUAUCUAAAUGAUGUCAGAACAGGAAAGUAUUGCAAAGUUUGGAUGAGGGAUGGAUCAAUUUCACUUUCAGCAACUCCUAAAUCUGAUUUGUUGGAAUUUAAGAUGUAAUCCUAAAAAGUCCCUUAAACCUGAGGACUGUUUAUUAACAUCCUUUUUUUGACCUUUGUCUUAGAAACAACUCCUCUACUAGGGCAGCAAUCCCCGCAGAGGAAGUUCACCUAGCUACCUCCCAGGGGCAGUGGAGGAAUCUGAAUGCUUGUUCAAGUUUUUUAAAUAUUGUUAACUACAAUAACAGAAAAAAAAAAAAUCAGCAAUGGAUACUAUGUGUCUGCUGCUAAACAUAGCACAUGAAAUCGAAGACCACAAUAUUGUAACAGUAGAAAUACUAAGAUGGCAUGAAAAGAAAAAGAUUUUGAGAUAGGCUAAUGUUUAAAUAAAAUUUAAAGACUCGUAAGAUUCCCAAGGAGCCUAUUUACUUUUAAUUUGACAGGCUCAAUUAUUUAAGAGUACAAAACAUCCCCACUGUUUAACUACUACAUUGUGGGCUUUAUAAUAUUGCUUAGUAAAAAAAAUGGAGAACAGGUAUCACACAAAUCAUGACCCAUCUUUUCUAGAGUUCAUUCUCAGAUAUUUAAAACUUUCUUUAACCCUUUGGGUUGAGUAAGAAUAAUUACAGCAUAGAUAUCAGAUUUCAUAAUCACAUUUUGGCACUAAAAGGGAAUUUAGCAAUAUUGUAUCUAGAGCAGGUCUGACACCAUCCAAAUCUGUCACUGGAAGUCGAUGCUCACAUUCACUGCAAAUGCAAAGCACCUUUCAAGUUAAAAAAAUGAAAAGAAUAGCUAUCAAAGAAAAUGAAUAAAAUCCAUAGUGAGAUAAUUUUUUAGAAAAUGAUUGAAGUUUUAACCAAAGAAAGGACUCUUAGAGUGUCUUAUAGCUUAGAAUAAGAACAUGUCAAUCACGAUUAAGCUUCUGGAAUCGGAAUCCCUUUGAAAUGCAGCUGUUUCUUCUUUAAUUGUGGCAGUGGACUCUGAAGAAAAGAAAGGUCCAGCCUUAAAGAUGAGUAAGGAAUACAAAAUAGCUCAGGAUUAGUUGUGGAGUUCAAAGGUCGCUAAUUACACUAAGGAGUUCCCAGACACAGGGAAAACAUUAAACAGGUCACCUACCAAACUGGGAACAAGCUUUGUCUUCAGAAAUUAUCCUGAAGUGACAGGUUUCUAGACAAAAUCAAAAGCAUCAGUGUGCCCAGCUGAUCUCAAUGGGAUGAAAUGUGGGCUGGCUUUUAGUUCCUAGUGUUGUGUCAGAACGGAAUGGCAACAGAUGGUCUUGGUUCCCCAUCACGCCACGCUUUUCUAGGAACCCCUAGAUUUUCCCCCAGGUUUCUAGAAAUGUCAAAUUAGAGGUCACUGGUUUUUCUAAUUUGUUUAUGAAGAGAGUUUGCCUCAAGGAUUAUAUACUGAAUCUUUCCCUACUCACUAGAUGAAUGUGUCUUGUCUACCUUAGUAUAAUUUGCUAAGUAUUUAUACAAUCAAAAUUUCUAAAAGGCUCUACUAAUAAAUUGAAGUAAAAUGUUGAGCUUUGAGUUGAGGAGUGAGAAAAAACCAUUAUGGGACAAUGUUUUCUUCUCACAGAAGAAUUUCUACUGCUGACUCCCUUCGGGUCAGUCGGAACAGCAAGGCACUGUCCUUGUCAGGCAGUUACUCCCUCUCCUGACUUAGGAUGACUGUGAAAACAGAACUUUGGGCUAUGAUAAUGCUUUGCAGGCAAUGAGGGUUUAUAAUGAGGACUGACCCUAAUUAAAAAAUUGAUUUUGAGUCCUAAGUUUACACACACUUCCCCAUUCAAUGAUUGAAACUCUCCUUCAAAGAAUCAGCAGCUUUUCUAAGUCUUUUUUUUUUAGAAGACUCAUUUUAAAAAAGACAAAAAAGAAACAGAAGCCAGGAUAAAUCUAAUUAGAGAUCAAUCUGCAAGUCCUAUUUUCUGUUAGGCUUCAGCUGGAGUCAGCGAAAUUCUCAGGAUCUUUAGAUUUUUUUUUAAAUGGUCGCUUGAAGUCCAACUUGACGAGAGCAUACUGCUCUGAAGCAGGAUAUGUGUAAUAGGAGAAAUAGGCAGAGGAUAAAGAGCAUGGCUAGGUAGUUUGGAAGGAAUCAAGAAGAUGGUAAAAAGAAAUGACAGGGACAGAUAAAGAAAAAAAAUGCUACAUUAAAUAAGUGUAAAUGAUACUCAUGAAAAGGUUUUUGAAUAUUUACCUGAGUUCAUUCAUUAACAGAUUUUAAUUAAAAAACAAAACAGAGAGUAUAAUACCCAAAAUUAUUUUUAAAACCUUGUCCCAGGACACUAAACAUCAUAGAUGACUAUGCUCCUCUUCUGAAGUUACUGCAGUCUUCUUAGGUCGACUGGCAUCUUAGACACACGUCAUUGUGGCAGAUUAUCAAGUCAGUUAAAGGAGCCUGAGAGGGGUUAGCAUCAUAGCUCAGUUGGUAGGGUGUUUGCCUGGCACGCAUGAAGCUCAGUUGGAUCCCUAGAAGGACAUAAAUUGGACAUGGUGAUACACCACUGUAAUCCCAGCGCUUGAGAGGGAGUUCAAGGUCAUCCUCAGCUACACAGUGAAUCCCUGGCAGUCUGGGCUCCACGAGACUCAGUCUCAGAAAGAAAGUAGCUCUAGAACAUCAAAUAGAAAUAUGCAGGCUUUUUAUUGGCCAGGACGAGAGAUGUGAUGAAGAGUGGGUUACUAUUUGAACAUUAUCUCCACUGGCUACUUUGAAAGAAAGGAUUUAUGAUUAUUUUAACCAGAUCAUGGGUAUUCUGUAAAAGCAUGCUGUUUGUACUGAGGUUUGGAUAAGCACAUAAUUUCCUUGUAAAUCAACUACAAACCACAGGACAGCUGCCUGAGACUGCACCAGGAGAAGACUGAGCUCUUACUGAAGGAGGGGGUUCUGAUUGACUAGUGCGGUCUGCCCCACAGGAUGCCACAAUUGGCCCUGUCUUGGCUGGGACUGAGUCUGGAGGCCUGCCACAGGGACAGGAAAGAACAUAUGGCAUGGAGACCCAAGACUGAUCCUAAUUCAAAAUGAAUCACUACUUUUAUGUGUUCUGAGUCAUACUGGCAUGAAGACAGAGGGUAACAAAAAAUGGAGACAUUAGCUUUGAAAAUAGUCUUUCACAUUGUAUCAGACAAAA